GCCAAAUCAUUUCCAUCUUAAAUAUAUUAAAGUAAUGUUUUACUUAGAAACGAGAAAAUAAUUGAAUUAUUAUAUGGUCAAAAUGAUUCACCAUGUGGUUCUAACCAAUUCUACUUAAAACUUUAAAGUUCUGGAUAUUCAGAUGAUUUAGUUCUCCAAUCCACUUUGUGAGGUUGCUAAUGUAGAUAUGACUUUCUUUCCAUUGGCAUGAAUACGUUUAUCUUAUACUUGCUUUGAUUUAGAACUAGAAAUUAGUUUAGAAAAGAGAACACCACAAAACAUUAGCACUUCCUCUUUUGAUGUCAUAGACUCACUGUCCAGUCAGAGGAGCGCUAUGGUUCAUCUACCACAAAACAGUACAAUUAGCAAGUAUUAGACAUCAGAAUCUUUAUUUUUUAUAAUCUUUUUGAACCUUGGAUAGUCCCUCAUCAGUACAUGGGUACUGGUCUGUCGAGGCGGAUUGUGCAUACGAAGAGCGAUCCAAGAAGUUCAGUCAACAUCAACACCAUUGCUGGACACCAAGGAUCACCAUUGUAUGAGUCCGCCAAAAGUUCAAUCAAGGACAAGUAAGUCGAUUCAAAUUAUUAUGGAAGUCAAUUGAUUUAUCGAUAAUAAGUCAAUCAUCGAUUCAAGAUCUAAGAUGACCGAACAACUGACAAGAUUACGAUUCAAACGAGGUCAAUUAAAGGCAAAUGUAACACAAGCAAAAAAUUAUUUUGAAUCUCUUAAUCUUCUUGCAUUCGACAGAAGAACAAUAACCGAACUAGAAGUACGACUACAGAAACUGGAGCCAAUUUUCGAUGAAUUUAAUAAUUUACAAACAGAAAUAGAAUAUCAAAGUGACAAUAAUGGAGUGGACGAAGAAGAA
rnacentral:lncRNA from 1 species